rnacentral:rRNA from 1 species
UACAGAGACCUCAAGCGUUAUCCGGAAUCAUUGGGCGUAAAGCGUACCGAUAGGUGGUUUUGAAAGUUUUGGGUAAAAGCCAGAAGCUCAACUUCUGAGUUUGCUCAAAAUACUGCAAAACUAGAGGGGCAAAGAGGAGACUGGAACGAACGGUGUAGUAGUGAAAUGCGUUGAUAUCGUUCAGAACACCGAAAGCGAAGGCAGGUCUCUGGGUGCCACCUGACACUGCUAGGACGAAAGCGUGGGGAGCGAAUGGG